rnacentral:rRNA from 1 species
GACGAACGCUGGCGGCGUGCUUAACACAUGCAAGUCGAACGCUGAAGCUCAGCUUUUGUUUGGUGGAUGAGUGGCGAACGGGUGUGUAACACGUGAUUAACCUGCCUCCUUCUUUGGGAUAACGCCCGUUAACGGGUGCUAAUACUUGAUAUUCACUGGUCUUCGCAUGGGGGUUGGUGGAAAGGGUUUUUCUGGUUGGGGCUGGGCUCGCGGCCUAUCAGCUUGUUGGUGGGGUGAUGGCCUACCAAGGCUUUGACGGGUAGACGGCCUGAGAGAGUGAGCGGUCAGAUGAGAAGGUAGAAACGGCCCAGAGUACUAAGGAAGGCAGCAGUAGGAAAUAUAGAACAAUGGGGGAAAGCAUAAGGAGGCGACGGGGCGUGAGGGAUGGAAGCCUUAGGGUUGAGAACCUCUUUCGCUAAUGGUAAAGCCGCAACAAUGGUUGUGGGGAGGGUAGUGGGAAAAGAAGCGCCGGCUAACUAAGG